rnacentral:other from 1 species
GUGUCCCUGGGCUAUGCGCCAGUCGUGCACAGUCCUCGAGCCGAUACUUUGAAUACAGGUGUUCCUGAGUUGUCGAUGUGAGCAUGUCCGCUGGUCGGAAAGCCUAAUUCGAUACGUGGAACGCCGCCUUGGACUUCACGGUUCAAGGUCUCCCACGGCAGCGGUAGUCUGGGGCAUUU